rnacentral:rRNA from 1 species
AGUGAACGCUGGCGGUAGGCCUAACACAUGCAAGUCGAACGGCAACACAGUAAUAGCUUGCUCUUACCGGUUGCGGGUGGCGGACGGAUGAGGAAUACAUCGUGAUCUACUUUUUCGUGUGAGUUAACGUAGGGAAACUUACGCUAAUACCGCAGACGACCUACGGUUGAAAGCAUGGGAUCUUCUGACCUUGCGCGGUUGAAUGCGCCGAUGUCGGAGUAGCUAGUUGGCGGGGUAAAGGCCCACGAAGUCGAGGAUCCGUAGCUGGUCUGAGAGGCUGAUCAGCGACAUUGGAACUUAGACACGGUCAAGACUCCUACGGGAGGCCGCAGUGGGGAACAUUGGACAAUGGGCGCAAGUCUGAUACAGUCAUCCCGCGCGGGUGAAGACGGCCUUCGGGUUGGAAUGACGUUCUGUUGGGAAAGAAAAGCAGCAGGUUAAUACCAAGCUGUUCUGACGGUAACCAAAGAAUAAGCACCGGCUAACUUCGUG